CGGCGAGUGAAGCGGCAAGAGCUCAAAUUUGAAAGCUGGCCCCUUCGGGGUCCGCGUUGUAAUUUGCAGAGGAUGCUUCGGGAGCGGUCCCCAUCUAAGUGCCCUGGAACGGGCCGUCAUAGAGGGUGAGAAUCCCGUCUGGGAUGGGGUGCCCGCGCCCGUGUGAAGCUCCUUCGACGAGUCGAGUUGUUUGGGAAUGCAGCUCUAAAUGGGUGGUAAAUUUCAUCUAAAGCUAAAUACUGGCCGGAGACCGAUAGCGCACAAGUAGAGUGAUCGAAAGAUGAAAAGCACUUUGAAAAGAGAGUUAAACAGCACGUGAAAUUGUUGAAAGGGAAGCGCUUGCGACCAGACUCGCUCGCGGGGUUCAGCCGGCCUUCGGGCCGGUGUACUUCCCCGCGGGCGGGCCAGCGUCGGUUUGGGCGGCCGGUCAAAGGCCCUCGGAAUGUAACGCCCCCCGGGGCGUCUUAUAGCCGAGGGUGCCAUGCGGCCAGCCCGGACCGAGGAACGCGCUUCGGCUCGGACGCUGGCAUAAUGGUCGUAAGCGACCCGU
rnacentral:rRNA from 3 species